CAAUUAGAGCAGUUAAACAAGGAUAUAAUACAGCUUCACUAAAUAAGAAGGAACUCACACUUAAAGAUGUGGAAUGUAAAUUCUACAAAAUGAAAACUGCUUAUGAAGAGGUUACAACUGAGUUAGAAGAAUAUAAGGAAGCCUUUGCAGCAGCAUUGAAAGCUAACAGUUCCAUGUCAAAAAAAUUAACUAAAUCGAAUAAGAAAAUAGCAAUGAUCAGUAUCAGCUCUUUAUGGAGAAAGAGCAGGUGAAAUAUUUUCUCAGCACUCUUCCUACAAGGCGAGGUCGAGAGUCACCUUGUGUUGAAAAUCUUACUAGUAUAGGACUCAAGAGAAAAUAUAUUCCCCAAAUGCCCGUAAGAAUUCCUACUUCAAACCUCAGACAUCAAAUAACUGCCAGAACUACUUGACUGAGCUGUUGCUGUAUUGGACACUUGCUCCCAUCUACUUUCUUCUCUAGAAUCCACGGGUAAGCCACAUCUAAUGAAGAGAAUAUUUAACCAUAAAGUCUUAAGGAAAAAUUGUAUGAUGAUUUAAAAGAUUAUAAAAUUUUAUUACUGGGCUAUUUACACAUUUUAAUUGUUUCUCAUAAAAUAUAUAACAUUCCAAUAUUUACUGAAGUAGGAUAUUUUUGUAUCAUAUGUAUGAUUAUAAUUUAUAGGGUAUUUUAAAUGAUGUUUUUUGGCCUCCUUAAGUUUUAAGUGGAUCUUGCAAAUGAAAACCAGUAUUAUUGAGUUUGACAUACUCAAAUUGCCCAAAUGUCAGCUGUUUAAACAACUAAGUCAUCAUUGAUACUUUAGUAAAGGUUAGUAAAGGUCAUCGAAGGCUUAUUUGCAUUUUACAGUUUUUAUUACUUAGGAGAGUUAAGGAGUACCUGCCAGGUUUGUCCGUGCUAAUGUUACAAUUUUCUUUCUGUAGUUCAACUGUAUUUUGUAUGGAGAUACUUUGAGGCUCUGUAAAUAUCUGGUUACUCCUCAGAACCCACUAGAUUUAGCAUUUCAUGGAUGACUUGUGUUUGAACAAUUAUUACUAUGAUGGUUACCAGAUGAUUAUUUUCUUAUUCUCUUCUUUGUUCUACAUGGAGAAAUAAAACCAAUAAAUAAGGGAGAAGGAAAGCUCAUGAUUCUGAUGCUCCAAUUCCCCAAGAUUAGGCCAGUAGUAGACAUUCCAAGCUGACUUUAUGUCUCUUUGAUUUGUCUCCAUUACUCUGUCGGCACUUUUUUACUUUCUGGCAGAAGAUGUUCUAAGCUCAGCUUGUAUUUUCUCUGCUCCAGCUCUGGAAUGAGUAAUUUUUUUUAGAAGCAGAGGUGGAGCCACUGAGGAAGCACAGGUGAGCCCUCCCCAGUGUGUACUCACUGGUCCCCAACAGAAGAACCACUGCCACAUCCACUGAGGUACCAAGAAACUAGCAAAGGGCCUUCUGGCUGUCUGGGGAGAGUCCUCAUGUGGACCCUGGCUGUCUCAGAGGUUCUGGAUUAGUCUUCCUGUAGCCUCUGUGUUGUGUCUUUAGAUCGGGGCUCUGUGGGAAGGGCCCUGAGAGACCCAACAGCACAGCGUGCCUUAUCUGCCAAAUGUCCCUCCCUUCUUCACACUCUGACACUCAGGAAUAGGGUAGAUGGUGUGUCCAGGCAGUGUCAGGCCACCUCACUUUCUCCUUUGAGACGGGCCCAGAGGGCCUUUGGGGUGAGUGUGGAGCUGGGAACCUGGAGCCUGAGACCAACUGUCUCUCCCUGUAUCUUGGAGGAAAGGCCAUGUCCCAAA